rnacentral:rRNA from 1 species
GAGAAACCUACCCCUACGUUCCGGAUAAUUGGCUGAAAAGCCUUGUAAUACGGGGGAGGCUUCCACCUUGGCAUCAAGGAGGAAGCAAACGAGUAAUCGGUGCAGGGAUGGUCUCGCGGCUUAUCAGGUAGUUGGUGGGGUAACGGCCUACUAAGCCUACGACGAGUAGCUGGUCUGAGAGGAUGGUCAGCCACAUUGGAACUGAGAUACUGUCCAGACUCCUACGGGAGGCUGCAGUCGAGAAUCUUGGGCAAUGCACGAAAGUGUGACCCAGCGACGCCGCGUGAAGGAUGAAGGCCCUCCGGGUCGUAAACUUCUUUUACAGGGGAAGAACACAAUGACGGUACCCUGUGGAUAAGCCACGGCUAACUACGUGCCAGCAGCCGCGGUAAUACGUAGGUGGCAAGCGUUGUCCGGAUUUACUGGGCGUAAAGGGCAAGCAGGCGGAUCGUUAAGUAGAAAGUGAAAGGUCGGAGCUCAACUCCAACAUUGCUUUCUAUACUGGCGGUCUUGAGUCCCGGAGGGGAGAGCGGAACGACACGU